rnacentral:rRNA from 1 species
AUUGAACGCUGGCGGCAGGCCUAACACAUGCAAGUCGAGCGAGAGGCGGACGGGUGAGUAAUGUCUGGGAGACUGCCUGUUGGAGGGGGGUAACUACUGGAAACGGUAGCUAAUACAGCAUACCAUCAGAUGUGCCCAGAUGGGAUUCGCUAGUAGGUGGGGUAACGGCUCACCUAGGCGACGAUCCCUAGCUGGUCUGAGAGGAUGACCCGCCACACUGGAACUGAGACACGGUCCAGACGCCUACGUGAGGCAGAAGUGGGGAAUAUUGCACAAUGGGCGCAAGCCUGAUGCAGCCAGGCCGCGUGUGUGAAGAAGGCCUUCGGGUUGUAAAGCACUUUCAGCGGGGAGGCGUUACCCGCAGAAGAAGCACCGGCGAACUCCGUGCCAGCAGCCGCGGUAAUAC